rnacentral:rRNA from 1 species
CGUUGAUCCUGCGGGAGGUCGCUGCUAUCUGGGUUCGACUAAGCCAUGCAAGUCUAGGGGGCCUUCGGGUCACCGGCAGAAUGCUCAGUAACACGUCGAUAAUCUGGCCUUUGGUCUUGGACAGCCUUGGGAAACUGAGGGUAAACCAGGAUAGGGAAUGGAUACUGGAAUGUGCCAUUCUUGAAAAGUAAUGCCAAAGGGUGAGUUGGCGGUGGAUUAGGCUGUUGGUGGGGUAAAGGCCCACCAAACCUAAGAUCCAUAGGGGCCGUGAGAGCGGUAGCCCCGAGAAGGACACUGAGAUACUGGUCCUAGCCCUACGGGGUGCAGCAGGCGCGAAACCUUUACAAUGCACGAAAGUGUGAUAAGGGAACCCAGAGUGCUCAUGUUUCACAUGGGCUUUUUUUCAAGGGUAAAUACCUUGGAGAAUAAGUGGUGGGUAAGACUGGUGCCAGCCGCCGCGGUAACACAAGCGCCACAAGUGGCGACCAUUAUUAUUGGGCCUAAAGCGUCCGUAGCCGGCUCUGUAAAUGCUUUGUGAAAUUGUCAAGCUCAACUUGACAGCGUGCAAAGUAGACUGCAGAACUCGAGACCGGGAGGAGUCAGAGGUAUGCUGGGGGGAGCGGUAAAAUGUUAUAAUCCCCGGUAGACCACCUGUGGCGAAGGCGUCUGACUAGAACGGUUCUGACGGUGAGGGACGAAAGCCAGGGGAGCGAAAUGGAUUAGAUACCCAUGUAGUCCUGGCCGUAAACGCUGUGAGUUAGGUGUUGCAUAAGCUUCUUGUUUAUGCAGUAUCGUAGGGAAGCCGUUAAACUCACCGCCUGGGAAGUAUGGUCGCAAGACUGAAACUUAAAGGAAUUGGCGGGGGCGCGCCACAAGGAGUGGGGCGUGCGGUUUAAUCUAACUCAACGCAGAGAAUCUCACUAGCAGCGACGGCAGGAUGAAGGUCAGUCUGAAGGGCUUACCUGACGAGCCGAGAGGUAUUGCAUGGCCAUCGUCAGCUCGUGCCGUAAGGUGUCCAGCUAAGUCUGGCAACGAGCGAGAUCUGUACCUACAAUUGCUAACGACUCAAUUUGAGAAUCGAGCACAUUGUAGGGACUGCCUUGGAAACAAGGAGGAAGGUGCAGGCUACGGUAGGUCUGUAUGUCCGAAUCUGCUAGGCUACACGCGCGCAACAAUGGCAAGGACAAUAGGAUGCAACUUCGAAAGAAGAAGCUAAACCUCUAAACCUUAUCUUAGUCCGAAUCGAGGGUUGUAACUCACCCUCGUGUCGCUGGAAUUCCUAGUAAUCGGAAGUCAACAUCUUCCGGUGAAUAUGUCCCCGCGCCUUGCACACACCGCCCGUCACAUCAACCGAGCAGGGUCUAGGUGAGAUUCAGUUUAAUUGAUUGUCUCGAACCUAGUCUCAGUGAGGUGGGUGAAGUCGUCACAAGGUA